AGAGGGAAAAGGAGCAAUCCGCUUUGAGAUGGCCUCGCGUCCGAUUAGCUAGUUGGUGAGGUAACGGCCCACCAAGGCGACGAUCGGUAGCCGGACUGAGAGGUUGAACGGCCACAUUGGGACUGAGACACGGCCCAGACUCCUACGGGAGGCAGCAGUGGGGAAUAUUGCACAAUGGGGGAAACCCUGAUGCAGCGACGCCGCGUGGAGGAAGAAGGUCUUCGGAUUGUAAACUCCUGUUGUUGAGGAAGAUAAUGACGGUACUCAACAAGGAAGUGACGGCUAACUACGUGCCAGCAGCCGCGGUAAAACGUAGGUCACAAGCGUUGUCCGGAAUUACUGGGUGUAAAGGGAGCGCAGGCGGGAAGACAAGUUGGAAGUGAAAUCCAUGGGCUCAACCCAUGAACUGCUUUCAAAACUGUUUUUCUUGAGUAGUGCAGAGGUAGGCGGAAUUCCCGGUGUAGCGGUGGAAUGCGUAGAUAUCGGGAGGAACACCAGUGGCGAAGGCGGCCUACUGGGCACCAACUGACGCUGAGGCUCGAAAGUGUGGGUAGCAAACAGGAUUAGAUACCCUGGUAGUCCACACUGUAAACGAUGAUUACUAGGUGUUGGAGGAUUGACCCCUUCAGUGCCGCAGUUAACACAAUAAGUAAUCCACCUGGGGAGUACGACCGCAAGGUUGAAACUCAAAGGAAUUGACGGGGGCCCGCACAAGCAGUGGAGUAUGUGGUUUAAUUCGACGCAACGCGAAGAACCUUACCAAGUCUUGACAUCCUGCGACGGUNACUUUCCUUCGGGACGCAGAGACAGGUGGUGCAUGGUUGUCGUCAGCUCGUGUCGUGAGAUGUUGGGUUAAGUCCCGCAACGAGCGCAACCCUUAUGGUCAGUUACUACGCAAGAGGACUCUGGCCAGACUGCCGUUGACAAAACGGAGGAAGGUGGGGAUGACGUCAAAUCAUCAUGCCCUUUAUGACUUGGGCUACACACGUACUACAAUGGCGUUAAACAAAGAGAAGCAAGACCGCGAGGUGGAGCAAAACUCAGAAACAACGUCCCAGUUCGGACUGCAGGCUGCAACUCGCCUGCACGAAGUCGGAAUUGCUAGUAAUCGCAGAUCAGCAUGCUGCGGUGAAUACGUUCCCGGGCCUUGUACACACCGCCCGUCACACCAUGAGAGCCGGGGGGACCCGAAGUCGGUAGUCUAACCGCAAGGAGGACGCCGCCGAAGGUAAAACUGGUGAUUGGGGUGAAGUCGUAACAAGGUAGCCGUAGGAGAACCUGCGGCUG
rnacentral:rRNA from 1 species